rnacentral:rRNA from 1 species
UACGUAGGGGGCUAGCGUUGUCCGGAAUCAUUGGGCGUAAAGAGCGCGUAGGCGGCCAGAUAAGUCCGGUGUGAAAGUCACAGGCUCAACCCUCGAAUGCCGGUGGAUACUGUCGGGCUAGAGUGCGGAAGAGGCGAGUGGAAUUCCUGGUGUAGCGGUGAAAUGCGCAGAUAUCAGGAGGAACACCAAUGCGAAGGCAGCUCGCUGGGACGUGACUGACGCUGAGACGCGAAAGCGUGGGGAGCAAACAGG